GUAAAGGUUCUGUAACUAAAAAGUUAGUGAGCUAAACGCAUUCGCGUCAGUUUAGUGCGCCCAGGCCGAACGUAAAUUACAAGCAUACGCGCAGUCCUACAGCGUUCACCAACACAAGUGCACACGCCUAUAUACUUAGAUACAUACACGCUCAAGUACUGAUACGCUUGGCGCUUAGCUUACUAGCUAAGUGAGCGCACGCAAGUGGACUUGCGGAUAUAAAAUUUUACGCAAGAAACGGAAUACUUUUUCGCCACACAACAAAUUUAGACGCGCAACAAAACGGAAGGAACUCGGAAAGCAAAACAAACGCUCCCGAGAAAGUCCAAAACUUCAAGCAAUUGUGAUCUAAUUAAACGGUUAUAUAAAUCAAUAUUAGACAAUCGUCGGUGAAACAACCAGAAUUGAACUCAACUAAAUCCAAAGCAAAGGAUACAAACAUUGAACGACGUAUCAAGUGAAUUUACUAAAAAAAAUAAAAAAAUAAAUAGUGAAAAAUUAUUUUAAAAAAGUGCGCCCAGAAACAUUUAUCCUCGGCCACAUUGAACUUGAAUGACAAAAAUGGAACACAAAUUGCCAAAAUAUUUCAACAAAAUUUUGCUCAUUACGUAGUGCAACCCAUACAUAGUACAGUUUUAUUUAAAUUUAUGAAAAAUAUAUCUACACAAAUAUAAACAUAAAACGCAAAUAGUAAAGUAAACUUCCCAAAUAGUCAAACUUAAGGGAAAGUACAAGCAAAAGCAAAACUUAGAGAAGACGGUUCUUAACAGCAAAAAGUAAAAACAAAAACAACAUAACAUUACAAUUACAUCUACAACUAAAAGAAAACAAUUGCAAUCAGUUGGAGAAACAUAAUUAAUUUCAAAAUAAUAGCCGUCACAGUAACAAGAACAAUAACAACAGCAUAUCCAUAAGAGUGAAGGCAAGUCUUUGGGGACGCUCUCAACAGCGCCAACGCAACACCCAUACGUACACGGACACGGAAGCGGACACAGUCAAGCCAGUCGCAAAAAUGGACGAAACACAGCAUUUCUGUUUGCGCUGGAACAACUACCAAAGCAGCAUAACGUCGGCGUUUGAGAAUCUGCGCGACGACGAAGAUUUCGUCGAUGUGACACUGGCGUGCGAGGGGCGCAGCAUCAAAGCGCAUCGCGUCGUCCUGUCGGCGUGCAGCCCAUAUUUUCGCGAUUUACUCAAGAGUACACCUUGCAAGCAUCCAGUGAUCCUGCUCCAGGAUGUCAACUUUCUCGAUCUACACUCGUUGGUGGAAUUCAUUUAUCACGGUGAGGUUAACGUGCAUCAAAAGUCUUUGCAGUCCUUCCUUAAGACGGCAGAGGUACUUCGAGUCUCGGGUCUCACACAACAGCAGGCCGAGGAAACCCAUAGUCAAUUAGCUCAAAUACAAAAUCUGGCGAAUGCCGCUAAUGCCACACGCACUCCACUUAACUCACACCACACAUUGCUCGAUGAGCCGCCGCUAUACCCACGCAACAGCGGCUCACCACCGCCACCCCCACCAUCCCAACAGCUGCCAUUGGCAUCCACACACAUCAACAGCCAGUUGUUUAAGCGCAGCAUGGCCAUGCUACGUCGCGAGAGGAACAACUCCACACCAUCGGCCGAGGACUCGAAUAAUGCCAUGAAACGUCUGCGUGGACCGGACAACGGCUUGCCGUCUAGCAACAACAAUAGUCCCGAAAUUGUACAUCAACGCAGCGCAUCACCGCAAUUGACACCGGCUGAUUUCUCUACCAUAAAGCACAAUAAUAACAACACACCGCCGCUGAAGGAAGACAAACGUAAUGGACCAACUGGUAAUAACGGCAAUAGUGGCAAUGGCAACUCGGACACUGGCAAUGGAAACGGUAUCGCAAAUAAUGACAAAGUGAGCGGUAGCUUAACAUCCUCGCCGCUAACACGCACCGUCGACGAUGUCAAAUCGGAACCCAUGGAACUGGUAUGCUCGAAUAACAAUCCGACAGUAGUCGAUGAGCACAGUAACGACUCGACUGGUGAGCAUGAAGCGAACCGAUCUAGCAGCGGUGAUGGCGGCAAAGGUUCUUUGAGUUCGGGAAACGAUGAGGAGAUUGAUAACAAUAUGCCAACACAUCCUCCACCCCCAUAUCUGAUGUCACCGGCAGAGAGCAAAUUAUUUUCACCGGCCGCCUUCAAUUUUCCCAUGAGCGGUCUAGAUCCUGCCACGUUAGCUGGUUUUAACUCGCAACUACAGUCAGCCGCCGAAAUAUCAGUUUCUCCGCAAGGACAUUCGCCUAAGAAACUCUUCUCAUGUCAUCUGUGUGGUAAGCUUCUAUGUUCGAAAGCCUCGCUCAAGCGUCAUAUCGCCGACAAGCACGCCGUGCGCCAAGAGGAGUACCGCUGCAUCAUCUGCGAGCGCGUGUAUUGCUCGCGCAACUCCCUGAUGACACACAUUUACACAUACCACAAAUCGCGCCCCGGCGAAAUGGAAAUGAAGGACAUCAAGCUCUAUCAUCCGUUCAACUCGUCGAUCUGAAACGCGAUGCGCAAUUUGUAUAAUUGCAAUUUGCCAUCCGUAACAAUCGCCCCAAUGCCAAUAGCGCUCAAACCAAAACCAACACAAACACCAACAACAACCACACUAGCAAAGCCAAUGGAUGAAAGCACAAAAAGCUCGCAUGCUCAAGCCGCACGAGAGACGAGCCCGUUUGCCAGCAAACAGAUGAACACAACGCCUCAGUUGCCCAGUGUACAAUGUGAUGAGAAGCAGCAGCAACAACAGCAAUACCAACAUCACUUACAACAAUCACAACAACAGCAGCAGCAGCACCAACAACAACAACAACACUACCUCUAUACUGAGUACCACCAAUGGCGGCAAGGUGACUCAGUACAACAAAUGCAACAACCACAUUCUCGCCAAGACGACGCAUUCCAUUUGCAGAAUCUCAUCAAACAACGACAAAUAAUGACCUUGUACGACUACUACAUGUACCAACGCCACCCGUCGCCACCGAUGCCGACGCAGGCCAAAGCUUUAGGUUCGGGUCUCGACUUGCGUACCGAGUACGGACGAGUGGCUCGACUAUAGCGACAAAAAACGUAGAUCUAGAAAAUUACAAAAACACAAUAUUACAAUAACAUUAAAGCAAUGCCAUAACGUAGUGAUAACUGUAAACCUUAGAAGUUAGCGACAUACACACACUGACAACUGCAGAAAAGUAUACACAUACAUAUGUACAUACCCCCUGUAUGUACAUAUUUAGAUUAGCGAAGAAUUCACAAUUUAAGCAUUAGCAAUUAUAUAUACAUACACACACAUAUGGAUAUACAUAUACGGAAGUUAGCAUAAUUUUUCAUAUAAGAUUCUCAAAUCAGCUCUCUAGCAACUUAAAACGAUUACUGCUCAACUAUUUACAAUAUCUAGAUACAUGCAGACAUACGUGUAUAUGUUGGAAGCACAAAUCAUUUUUAGGUUAGGUGUACAAUAUUAGGUGCAUACUUCUAGGAGCUCAAGCAUAUACAAGCGCAUAUACACAUAGGUUUAAUUGCAACAUGCAUACAAACAAAUAUAUAUAUAAAUAGCUGCAAACCUUUAUAUUUACGCAGCAUAUAAUUAGAAACCGCAUACGUACUCGUUCUGCAUCGCACGACUUUUUCGUGCUGGACUUUUAUUCUAAAUGACCACCGUAUCUCACAACUACCUACUGUGGCCUUCUAUUGUGUCUACCACACGCACACGCGCGCAUUCGGAGCGUGUAUGUGUGCGUGCAUAUAAACUCCUUAACGUAGUCAAUUCGAACUAGAAACCUUUUUACGGCAUUUACAGUAAUGCCCUUUACACAUUUUUACAACUUAUGUAUCUCAACGGAACUAUACCGGUGACAACGGACCUGUUGAACUCACUAGCCUUAGCUUACUGCAAACUGAACUAAUAACAUAAAAAACUAGUAUUUAAUUAUAAAAAAUGCAAAAUGGAUCGGCGCCACACUGAAGCCUACACGCAGCGAUACAAAAGACCCGAGCUACGAACUUCGUUGGGCGCGGAGACCUGUCGGCUCAGAGUAGAAUGUGUGUGCAUCAGCGGAGCAAGAGCGCGAGCAAUCUCUGGUGUGCUCAGCAAAAAGUAUUUAUCAAAAACCUUAACGGCGUACAAAGAAAUAACAAAAUUGAUUCCCUGACCCAACCCCUUCAAAACAGACAUCCAAACCGUGAAACCGUGAAACCGUGAGCCCUUUUUGCCCUGGAGCGAUGAGCCCAAAGUACUCAAGCUAUUAUCGGCUCAUGACAACACUACAAAUAAGCAGCCUAACGAGGUUUUGGGUCAACCAUGCCAAAUUGUGAUUGAUUGAAGAUACCAACGUCAAGGUGCACACACAGCCAUCCGCUCAGCAGCCACGUCCCCCACCAGUACGGCCUCAUCGCCACCGUCACCGCCUACAGCGCUUACC
rnacentral:misc_RNA from 1 species